rnacentral:rRNA from 1 species
UUAAUGAGAGUUUGAUCCUGGCUCAGGACGAACGCUGGCGGCGUGCCUAAUACAUGCAAGUAGAACGCUGAAGAGAGGAGCUUGCUCUUCUUGGAUGAGUUGCGAACGGGUGAGUAACGCGUAGGUAACCUGCCUUGUAGCGGGGGAUAACUAUU